UACAUUCAUCAGCUCCACGUACGUUCCCAGUGAGGAGAAGGUUUAUUUCUUCUUUAGUGAGAUUGGAAAAGAAUAUGACUUCAUUGACAAGUUUACAGUGUCUCGCGUUGCCCAAGUUUGCACUAGUGAUGUGGGAGGCCAGCGUACUCUGCAAAAACGCUGGACCACAUUUGCCAAGGCUCAGCUACUAUGUCAAGCUGAACAAGAGCUGCCAUACAACAUCCUGCAGGACAUUGUCAGCCUUACGCCACCAGAGGGCGCAUCUGAGGACCAAACUCUAUUCUAUGGGAUUUUCACUUCUCAGUGGCAAGUUAACUUGGGUCGCUCAGCCGUGUGUGCUUUCAGCCUCAAAGACAUU